rnacentral:rRNA from 1 species
CCUACGGGGGGCUGCAGUGGGGAAUAUUGGACAAUGGGGGCAACCCUGAUCCAGCCAUGCCGCGUGUGUGAAGAAGGCCCUCGGGUUGUAAAGCACUUUCAGUGAGGAAGAACGCCUGGUGGUUAAUACCCAUCAGGAAAGACAUCACUCACAGAAGAAGCACCGGCUAACUCCGUGCCAGCAGCCGCGGUAAUACGGAGGGUGCGAGCGUUAAUCGGAAUUACUGGGCGUAAAGCGCGCGUAGGUGGCUUGAUAAGCCGGUUGUGAAAGCCCCGGGCUCAACCUGGGAACGGCAUCCGGAACUGUCCAGCUAGAGUGCAGGAGAGGAAGGUAGAAUUCCCGGUGUAGCGGUGAAAUGCGUAGAGAUCGGGAGGAAUACCAGUGGCGAAGGCGGCCUUCUGGACUGACACUGACACUGAGGUGCGAAAGCGUGGGUAGCAAACAGGAUUAGAUACCCUAGUAGUC